rnacentral:tRNA from 3 species
GCCCCCGUAGCUCAGAGGAUAGAGCAGCCGCCUCCUAAGCGGUAGGUCGCGGGUUCAAUUCCCGCCGGGGGCU